UGAAGAAAUUGGCAAUAAGAAAAGUGAAGUUUCUGUCCUGAGAAAUGGAAAAGAAAAUACAGUGUAUUGAACUUCUGCCAUGUGCCAGACACAUUAUCUAUGGGUGCUAUGUGUCACAGAUUAACCUUAUAAGGCCAGCAACUUUCUGAAGAGCUCCAGCACGCACAACUGAAGACAAUAAAAAGGAAUUUCAAGAUGUCAUGUGGGGACAAGGGUUCCAAAAGAGAAAAGACUGGAUG
rnacentral:lncRNA from 10 species